rnacentral:lncRNA from 10 species
GGCUGGGUCGGGCUGCCCGGGCGACGCCGGAGUUGCAGUUGGAGGCUGCGGGAAUACAAAGGGUCUUGCUCUGUCACCCAGGCUGGAGUUCAGUGGCCCAUCCAUAGCUCACUGCAGCCUCGACCUCCUGGGCUUCAAAGUGAUCCUCCUGCCUCAGCCUGCCAAGCAGCUAGGACUGUGGAGGUGUCCAAUAAGCAGCUGAAAGCACAGAGCAGUAGCAUGGGACCGAGCCGUCGGCAUGGAGGUCAGGAUCACGGAGAGGAGGUCAGGAUCACUUUACUCUGUGAAAACACUAUGCCUGGGAUUCCGACUUCCUUCUCUCCACUUCUCUGCCUUGUCUCUCUCCAAAUACCAAUGAAGAACAAAAACAGUAUUUUGAAAUACUGAUCAAUGAGCUUCUCCUUCCACCUGUGCUUACAAAAUUCCUGAAGGCCUUCUAAUGAUCCCCAGCCUAGGCAGCAAAACUAGCCCACCCAAAAAUAAAACAAUGACCAUGAAUAGCUGAUCACUAAUUUCACAAGUCAUUGCUCCAAGGCAGAAAGACCUCCUCCCCGACCUGCAGAUGGGACAAAAUAAUCUGAAGGGAAAAGUGAAGAAGCCACAAGUAGAGGAGAUGGUGAGGUAAGGGACCCCCAACCUCUAAGGAUCAAGCACCAUAUACUGUGAACAUCAUUAUGCAACAAGCCACCCAUAGAUUGUGCAGUAAGAUAAUUGUCCAUCUCCUCUCUGAUUUACCUACUAUAAGAAACACCCUUACACUCAACAGCCCAUGGUACGCUAAACCCUCAUGAAUAAAACUAGGGCCUGAAUACCUAUGGUUUACUCCAACUAUAGGGGUGGGAGUAACAUGAAGGGAAACCUUCCAUAGCUGUCCAUGGAUGAAACCAGCUGAAAAGCUCCCAUAGAGGCCAGACAGGGAAUUUCACAACUAUAAUGUGUUCUUCAGAAACAUGCAUGAGGAAUUCUCUUGUAGUAUAAUUUAAAUUAUCUCAGCUUUGCACAGUGGCAGUAUUGUAGCCAGUGAGGUUCAUCCGAGGCACAAUUAUUGGCUAAUUAAACUAUCUCACUGACCAAGGCUACCUAUAACUCAUAUAAACAAAGUGUUUUUCCUUUAUCUUGGUUGAACCUAGGGCUUAAGAAUUCCUUGAUGUUCCAUGACUUGGAUACAUUAAGGCAAUCUAUUGAUGGUAAACUUUUAUCAGAUGCCAAUGUAGUCUCCCAAGAUUUCCUGGAGGGGAAAUGGAUAACAACACUGAACUUACUGACUCCAAUUAGAACAGCCUAUUUUGGUUCCUGUGUAAUACUCUCAAGAAAGAGUCUACUUCCUUUGUCCCCAUACAGGAUGAAUUUGUUUCUCCAUCACUUCUGCUUUAUUAUUUCACUCCCUCCAGACAUAAGUCAUAAUUAAAGAUAAUGCAUUUUUCUCUGAGUAAAGGAAAUUACAUUAUAUUACAUAAAUAAAUGAAGCUUUAAUUUUGUUCUCCAUAUUUCUCAACAGCUUUGCAGAUGGUAUUAAGAAACAGGGCAUCUGUGUCUCCCUGUGGAAAAACCCAGGCUCUUCUGGAACUGUGGGCUCCUUGUGUUGCUGUCAUGUAAUCAAGAAGCUAGAGGUAGCAGAACCCAAUCCUUACACCCAAAACACUAGCCAAGGGCAUCUUUCUCUCUUGCAUCUAGCUAUGACUCCAAAAGAGAAGAGCAAAUGGUCGCUACAUGCAAAACAAGUUGCCAACCACCAUAGGUUUUGUCUUUCAAAUUAUCAAAUAUAUGUAUACAUACUGAGACAGAGUUUCACUCUUGUUGCCCAGGCUACAGUGCAAUGGUGUGAUUUCAGCUCACUGCAACCUCCACCUCCCAGGUUCAAGCGAUUCUCAUGCCUCAGCCUCCCGAGUAGCUGGGAUUACAGGUGCCCACCACCAUGCAUGGCUAAUUUUUGCAUUUUCAGUAGAGAUGGGGUUUCACCAUGUUAGUCAAGCUGGUCUCGAACUCCUGACUUCAGGUGAUCCACCCAAAAGUGCUGGGAUUACAGGCGUGAGCCACCGCACCCAGCCAAAUUAUCAAAUAUUUUUUAAAAGUGUUAUAUCCAGUUUUCGCAGGGCUACAAUGAGAGAUAUUCUCAUAUACAGUUUGGUGGGAUGUGUGGAGGAAAGAUGGUAAGAAAUAUUUUUGCAUAUUUAUGUGGUAGAAUAUUGUAUGUCCAUUGAAUAUAAAAUUAUAGAAGAAUAUUUAAUGUAAUGGGAAAUAUUCAUGUGAAAUGAAAAAGCAGAUUAUAAAAUAGCAUCUCUAGUAUAUUUUUGUUAAAAUUAUAAAAAUUGUCAGUAAUAUAUAGAUGGAUUCUACACAUUUAUAACAGUUUUAGUAUCAGGUGGUUUUUAAAUUUUAUUUGUGUUUUUGUAUUUUCCAAAUUUUCUACAAUGACUAUGGUAUUUUUUUUAAGAGAUGGAGUCUCACUCUGAUGCCCAGGCUGAAGUGUAAUGGUAUGAUCAUGGCUUACUGUCGCCUCAAAUUCCCAGGCUCAAGUGAUCCUUCCACCUCAGCCUCUUGAGUAGCUGGGCCUACAGGCACAUGCCAUUACCCUUGGCAAUUUUAUUUUUGGUAGAGACAGAGUUUUGCCGUGUUGCCCAGGCUGGUCUCAAACUCCUGAGCUCAAGUGAUACUCCUGCCUUGGCCUCCCAAAGUGCUAGGAGUAUAGGCAUGAGCCACCACACUUGGUCUAGUAUUGCUUUUGAUUUCACACUAAAAAACAUAACAAGAGAGCAUGCUUGACUUCUGGCAAACCCUAAUCCCAGGAGAAUAUUCUACUUGUAUGCUUUCUUUUAUAUAAAUAAAUGCUGUCCUGGUUGCAUUUAGAAUCCAUACAUUCAUUCAUUCAUUUGUUCAUUAAUUCAGCAAAUAUUAGUUUAGCUCUUACUUUGUACCGGAACAUCCCUAAAUGCUGGGAAUAGUGAGGGAAACAAGGUAAAGUCCUUGCUCUUUUGGAGCUGGUGUUUUAGUUAGGGAAGGCAGUCAACAAACAGGAAGACAAACAAGUGAGACAGUGUUUGAUAGUGUCAGGUGUUCUGAAGAAAAUAAAACAGGGUGAUAGCAUGAGAGGGAGCAAACAGGUAGAUUGGAGGAAUUACUCAGAAUUAGGCACUGAGGGAAGACCUUCCAAGGAGCUGAAAUUUGAGCUAAAACUUAAAGAAAAGAAACAGCCAUACAAAGACCAGAGAGAAGACCCUCCUGGGUGGGGGAAACAGCUCUUGCAAAGGUCCUUGAGAUUGCCAUGAGCUCAGCCUAUUCAAGGGAGAACGGGAAACAGUCUGAGGGGUGGGCAGGAGGCAAAGCAAGAAGGGCUUCAUAGGCCAGAGGAAGGAGCUGAGAUUUUAACAUAAGUAGAUCUGAGCUCCACUUACCAAAAUAAUCCCCUGGCUACUGUAUGGAAAAUAUGGAUGAGAGGAUGGGGAUAGGAGUGGAAGCAGAGAACCCCUCAGGCGAUAACUGCACAUCCAGUAGACAGAGAUGAGGGGCUGCACAUGGCUUGGGUGGCCAUGGAAAUACAUUUGGGUUAUACUGAAAAGGUUAGGAUUUUACAGAUGAAUUUGACAAUUCAAUAUCUUAUGACCACUGGGCAAUGGGAGAAGUUUGACGGGAAAGGCAAGCAUUUACAAGUCUGACUCUACUAAGAGCCUGUUCUGGAAAGAGAACAUGGCCCCAGGGGACAUAAGACAUGAAGGAUGACCCACGUGGACUGUCAAUCAGCAAGCAGGGGCACGUCCCCAGCCACAGGGUCAGAGUCAGAAGCCCGGUCUAGCCCCAGAGACAAGGGCUGUCAAGGUCCUGAGGGAGCAGAGUGCUGGGGGUCAGGGCGGGGACCAGGGCAGGGACUCAGGAAAGGGAAGGUGGGCAUGAGAGCCAGAGAGCAGGACAGAGCAACAGAGAGAGCAAACUAAGGGCCCAUCCAAAGGGCUGGGCUUGGGCUUCUCAGUUCCCUCCCCAGUAAGGGUACAAUUGGUCCUAGAGCUGGGGUGGGGCCAAGCCUGUAUUUAGGGGCCAAUUUGUUCAGCUAGGCCAAGGUGCUAGGCAGGUACUGAGAAGACCACAGAUCACAAGGGAUGCUCUAUUUUUUAAAUAUGGAUAACCCUUUCCUUAAUAACAAAAUUUCCAGCCUAUGUUCCGAUUAUCAAGUGAGUCAUUCUGAAAACCCUGUUUAUUUCUCUUUCACCCAAAGCAUCUGCCCAUUAUCACAUUUCUAAUGUUGAAGUGGAGAUAUGAGGAUUUUGAAAGUUCCCAAUUGGAUGCCUCUAAAGGAAGUGAGGGCUCUUUCAAGUAAGAAAAACUCAUUUUAUAUUACCUUUUAAGCUAGCUGUUAUUAAUUUUCAAUUUUAUGCUAGAAAUUUGCAACUCACAAAAAGAAAGGAAAAAAGUUAAACCCUGAUUUUAAAUAUCAUUGUUCCCCAUUUUUCAUGUCUCAGUUACCACAUUUAAAAAGAAGAUGGCACCAUUUGUCCAAGGAAUCUCAUUACUGGGUAUAUGCCCAAAGGAAUAUAAAUCAUUCUAUUAUAAAGAUACAAGCAAGUGUGUGUUCAUUGCGGCACUAUUCACAAUAGCAAAAAAUCAACCCAAAUCCCCAUCAAUGAGAGACUGGAUUAAAAAAAGUGGUACAUAUAUACCAUGGAAUACUAUGCAGCCAUAAAAAAGAACAAGAUCAUGUCCUUUGGAGGGACAUGGAGGGAGCUGGAAGCCAUUAGCUUCAGAAAACUAACACGGGAACAGAAAACCACACACCAAAUGUUCUCACUUGUAAGUGGGAGUUGAACAAUGAGAACACAUGGACACAGAGAGGGGAACAACACACACUGGGGCCUGUCAGCAGGGGGUCGGGGGAGGGAGAGCGUCAGGAUAAAUAGCUAAUGUAUGUAGGGCUUAAUACCUAGGUGAGGUAAUAAGAUGAUAGGUGCAGCAAACCACCAUGGCACACGUCUACCUAUGUAACAAACAUGCACGUUCUGUACAUGUAUCCUGGAACUUAAAAUUUUCUAAAAAAGUAAAAUAAAACUGUCUUUCAUAGAAUAAAAAGCAAGAAAGAAGAUGGCUAUACCUUUUGCUUUCAAAAGCAAUGACCAAUGAUCUAAAACCAUGUAAAUAAGAGCAGUAGCAAUCUGGAGAAAGAAUUAUUAAAGAACAAUCAGAGUGGAGAAGAAACUCAGAAAUAAUCUCAUCAUGUGUUACAGAAGAGAAAAUAAGAUCUAGGUCAUAUCAAUGUCCAGCACGUGCCAGAUAAGAAGUAAAUGUUAAUCAAGUGAACAAAUGAAUGAACAAAGCUUGGCCCUCUCAUUCUCUGUCCAAUGCUCUUCCCGCCACCAGAGAAUCCCCACUAAUAUUGUAUUCGGUGUCCACUCAAGUGCAGUCCAGCACCUGUGUAUAUUGGAGACUUAGGGGUCACCAUACGAUGCUUAAAUGAGAGUGACACAGCACCUACCCAAUAGCUUGGCAAAAGCCCUGACUGUGUUUGGGUGACUCACCCUGGUUUACCAGAGUGAUAGACCAAAAGCAUGUAAAAUGGCAUGUCACCACCAUAACUAGAGCAGACAGUUCUCACAUCUAUUUUGGAAUCUAGGGCUUUGGCAUGAACAGAGAUUUCAGAGUUUCAAAAACAUAUCACCCCCGCCCCUUUUCGUUUUGGUAGACUCAUCUUCAAGAUCUAGAGCAGCUGUUUCCA